AGUGCUGGAAAGCAGAUUAGUGGGGUGGGGACGGAAUGCGAUUUGUAGUAACCUUCCCCUGCCACGCCCACAGAACCAGUAGUAAAAAAAAGGAAUCCCAUCACUGAUACGUCCUUAAAUAAUCAUAUAACUCCCAAGAGCUUUAAAGAAAUUUAUAUAUUCAAUUAUGAAUCCAGUGGAAAAUUUUCAAGCAAGCCUACCGUAACAUGUAUGACCUUUGUGUCUGAGAGCUAAUUUGUGAUGAAGGUUCCCUACAGAAGCAGACUAGUGAUCACAUGGCUCUUGUAAAACCUGCUGUUGUCUGCAAUAGUAUGAUAGUAUGAUAGCAUUGUCUCUCUAAAGCAACUAUAUACAUACAUCUAUUAACUUGAUGGGGGAGAGGUAAUUUUUUUCUUUCCUUAAUGCAUUUACCUUUAUAUUCAUCUAGUAAUUUAAAAGUAAGGGCAAAGAGCAUGAGAUCCCAAAGAAACCAACAUAGUUCCAUAAAGAACUCUCUGACAAACUAAAAAAUAAAAAUGACAAAUAUAAUAGUGGAAAUAGAGGCAUAUAUUUAAGGCAGAAUACCAGCAUAUAUCCCAAAUCUACAAAGGAUAGGAAGCUAAGGCUCAGAAAGAAUGAAGAAUGAACUAAAGCUUGCAACAAGUGUCAAAAAAUAAUAUCCAUUCUAGAUGAGUUCAAAUCACCGGACUAGAUGGAUUACCUCCCAGAGUACUGAACUAGUUGGCAGACAUAAUCUCAGAACCACUAAACCGUACAUUUCAAAGAUUCUGGAACACCAGGGAAAUAUAGGAGUGGAAAAGAGCUAAUGUGGUUCCCUUCCUCAAAAAAUUGGGAGGGUGGAGGAUCCAGGAAACAACAGACCAAUCAGUAUGACCUCAAUACGUUGGAAGAUUCUGGAAAAAAUUAGCAACAAAUCUGCGAAUUGAGACAAGCAAAGUGCUUGUCAAAAACAGAUCAUGCCAGACAAAUCUUACUGUGUUCCUUGAUAAGGCAACUAAAUUAGUGGACUAGCAAAAUGCAGUCAACACAAUAUAUUUGGACUUCAGUAAGGCAUGUGACAAAGUAGGCCAUAAUCUAUUAUUUGGUAAGAUAGGAAAAUGUGGGAUAGGCAGUAUCACCACCAGAUGGAUUCACAAUUGGCUGACUAACUCCUCAACAUUUUGUCCUUAAUGGAACAUGAAAAGAAGUAUGCAGUGGGGUGCGCCAAGAUUUUGUCUUAGACCCAGUACUAAUUAACAUCAUCAUAAAAGAUUUAGGUGAAGGGUUAGAAGAAGUCAUUAGAUUAACUGUUGGUACCAAGCUUGUGGAGCUAGACAAUACUUUGGAAGACAGGUGCAAGUUCUAGAAGAAUCUUGACAGCCUCAAGUACUAUCCAACAAAAUACAAUUCAAUGGUGAGAAAAGUAAGGUUUUGUACUUAAGUUAAAAAAAAAAGUGGAACCAGGCUCAGUAGCAAUAACUGUGAGAGGGAUCUAGGAGUCUUUGUGGACAAUCAUUAAAGUAUGAGCAAGCAAUGUGCUGCAGCAAUUAAAAAUGCACUCCUAGAAUGCACCAGCAAGGUUCUAGAAGUACCAUUAGUACCAUUUUAUAUUGCAUUGAUAAGACAAUACUUGGAAUACUAUGCCCAGUUUUGGUUGUCACAAUACAAAAAAAGAUGCCUUAUCAGAGAGCUUGCUAACUAUGUUAUGAAAGGUCACUGGGCAGUAAAUGCUAGAUCAUCUGUCUCCCUUGGUUUCUAGAUAGAAAUAAUUAUGGAUAUGUCUUGGUCUUUAGGAUUUGAGGCUUAUUAUAACAGAAAUUUGAAUCCAACAG